UUGGUUUUAGGUUGGAAGUCCA
rnacentral:siRNA from 1 species